AAUAAAUAAAAUGUUAUUCUCCGUUGUAAACUGAACAUCCUCUUUGGUCUCUUCUUGUCCUUCCAGCGCUGGCAGACCCGAUCUAGAUACUAAAUCAGAUGACUUUAGAGGGCCUAUGAGGGUUGAAUAAAAUAAGUGAGUAAACUGAGAGCAUACAAAAGAAGAACUGCUCAAGCUUUGCCUUUGGAACCCUCACUGCACUUUUUCAUCCUCCUGUUUUUUUUCCAAAACAUUUCUUUGAAUUUUCUUUAUUUGUGCAAUUUACUGUAAAUAAUGUCUUCGCUGUCAAAUAUGUAAACCUGUGGAUCACCAUGGUGAUAUUUUUAUAAUGUAAAUUACUGAGGACCUUUGGUGAUUGGAUGUUUUUUUCAGUACUUUUUACCGCCCAGAGCUUGGAGCAAGUAGAGAUGGACAAAACGGUGCUUUGACUGAAACAUGAUAGAUAAGCCUGUCCCAAUGGUAUUUUUAUGUUUUAUGUAAGGGUCUGCUCUUUGUAAAUAAACUGCCUGUCCAAUA